rnacentral:tRNA from 1 species
GGGGAUAUAGCUCAGUGGUAGAGCACUUGCCUAGCAAGCACAAGGCCGUGGGUUCGAUCCCCAGCUCCG